UACCAGCACCCCGAGUGGUCGGGACGUUUAUUGGGCCUAAAGCAUCCGUAGCCGGUUCUACAAGUCUUCCGUUAAAUCCAACUGCUUAACAGGUGGGCUGCGGUAGAUACUAUAGAGCUAGGAGGCGGGAGAGGCAAGCGGUACUCGAUGGGUAGGGGUAAAAUCCGUUGAUCCAUUGAAGACCACCAGUGGCGAAGGCGGCUUGCCAGAACGCGCUCGACGGUGAGGGAUGAAAGCUGGGGGAGCAAACCGG
rnacentral:rRNA from 1 species